GGACAGUGUCUGGUGGGUAGUUUGACUGGGGCGGUCUCCUCCCAAAGAGUAACGGAGGAGCACGAAGGUUAGCUAAUCCUGGUCGGACAUCAGGAGGUUAGUGCAAUGGCAUAAGCUAGCUUGACUGCGAGCGUGACGGCGCGAGCAGGUGCGAAAGCAGGUCAUAGUGAUCCGGUGGUUCUGAAUGGAAGGGCCAUCGCUCAACGGAUAAAAGGUACUCCGGGGAUAACAGGCUGAUACCGCCCAAGAGUUCAUAUCGACGGCGGUGUUUGGCACCUCGAUGUCGGCUCAUCACAUCCUGGGGCUGAAGUAGGUCCCAAGGGUAUGGCUGUUCGCCAUUUAAAGUGGUACGCGAGCUGGGUUUAGAACGUCGUGAGACAGUUCGGUCCCUAUCUGCCGUGGGCGCUGGAGAAUUGAGGGGGGCUGCUCCUAGUACGAGAGGACCGGAGUGGACGCAUCACUGGUGUUCGGGUUGUCAUGCCAAUGGCAUUGCCCGGUAGCUAAAUGCGGAAAAGAUAAGUGCUGAAAGCAUCUAAGCACGAAACUUGCC
rnacentral:rRNA from 1 species